rnacentral:rRNA from 1 species
UAAAGAGUCGAGCCUGCCCAGUGAUAUAUAUUUAACGGCCGCGGUACUCUGACCGUGCAAAGGUAGCAUAAUCAUUUGCCUUAUAAUUGAAGGCUAGCAUGAAUGGUUUGACGAAAAUAAAGCUGUCUCCUUUUAAUUUUGUAAAACUUGAUUUUUAGGUGAAGAAGCCUAAAUACAAUUGAUAGACGAGAAGACCCUAUCGAGCUUAAAAAAAUUUUACUAAAAUAAAAUUGCUAUAAAAAUAAAUUAGUAAAAAAUUUUAGUUGGGGCGACUAAGGAACAAACAAAGCUUCCAUCACAAUAUUAUAGCAUAUUAGUUAUGAUCCAAAAUUUUUGAUUAAAAAAAUUAGUUACCGUAGGGAUAACAGCAUAAUCUUUUUUAAGAGUUCUUAUCGAAAAAAAGGUUUGUGACCUCGAUGUUGGACUAGAAUAUCCUAAUGAUGCAGAAGUCUUUAAGGGUUGGUCUGUUCGACCAUUAAUAUUCUACAUGAUCUG